GAUGAAGAACGCAGCGAAAUGCGAUAAGUAAUGUGAAUUGCAGAAUUCAGUGAAUCAUCGAAUCUUUGAACGCACCUUGCGCUCCUUGGUAUUCCGAGGAGCAUGCCUGUUUGAGUGUCAUUAAUAUUAUCAACCUUUUUGGUUGGAUGUGGGUUUGCUGGACUCCUGAGAUCAGCUCUCCUUAAAUGCAUUAGCGGACAACAUUUUGCCAACCGUUUAUUGGUGUGAUAAUUAUCUACGCUAUUGACGUGAAGCAAGGUUCAGCUUCUAACAGUCCAUUGACUUGGACAAGUCUCUUUUUAUUAAUGUGACCUCAAAUCAGGUAGGACUACCCGCUGAACUUAAGCAUAUCAAUAAGCGGAGGA
rnacentral:misc_RNA from 1 species